ACCAGUAAUCAGGCCGAAUAGGAUUUGCCGAUUCUGUCCGAUCUGAACCAGGCUUCUUGGAUGGGUACGGUUUGCCUUCCUGUUUUGGCACGGGAUACCUUCCUUCCUCCUUUGCUCCUCGUACCAACGACCGGCUUUGCUAGGGUUCCUCAUCCAGCCGACGUCUUCUUCUCCGGCUGUACUAUCGCCACCCCACUUCCAGCGCCCCGCAAUCAGGACUAGGUGAGAAACUCAACAAAUCUCAAGUUGUCUGGGUGUUUAUUUUUAUUUUUACUUUUUUUUAGGGUCUAUUUCAGCAAAUCUCAGUAUGCAGAUCUCUGUAUUUAAGAUUUCUCUAGUUUCCCAGUGCUACAGCACUUACGAUUUGAGGUUGAUUUGCCGUAUGGCUUGAUUUAUGUCUCUCACCUUGAUUAACUCGCCAUUCAGUUUCUCUUUUCCUGAACUCACGGGUCAGGAUCCUUGUUAAUACAUAUAUUUCUUCAGGCGCUCUAAUACUAGUAUACAAUGCCUCGAGUUGGAGACCCAGAAGCAUCCUCGUUCUUAAGGCUCUUGGCGGAGUUCGGUUACCUUUCCUCCAUCAUUCUGGAACGAUGGAUUAAUUUCAAGAAUGUGUCUAUCGGACGGCCUUUCUUAAUAUACAACACUGUAUGGUUGGUUCUUGACAAAAUAGACUCGCCCUAUGCACGGCCCUGGACACUUUUUUAAUACUCUACUCCCUCCUUUUUUACAAGGCACCCCAAUCUGACGGGUGCCAUGUUGACUCAGUGGAGGAAUUCUGUAAAUAAAGAUUGGCUUUCUCUUAUGUCAAGCACAGUGUCUCCCUUUCAAAUUUUAUGUCAUUUAAGGGUAUGGUUAUGUGUUAUGUAUCUUUAAAAUAUGUGUGCGUUUAUGGAUCUGAUAAAAGAAGUGUGGUGUUAGAUAGUUUGCAUAUGCACGUUUUAAAUGCCGGAGUUGCCAUUGUUGUCUCUCCAGCUUGUGAGCCACCCCUUUCUAUGUUGCUCCCAGAAUUCUUUUGUUUGAUCGAACAAUGCAGCAGCGAUCCUUGCAGUUUGAGAAUCCGCGUCACUUUGUUUUGCUAGCCCACAGACCACAGCUCUGUUCUGGACACAUGGCUACUUUGACCUCCAGGCACCUCCAUUCUCACCAGCAUGAUUUAAACUUUUUGAAGCAUUUCCUUGGGACGGUUUCUUAGUACUCUUUGCAGAAACCCUAGGAAAAGAGAUCGGUGAAUUGAUUUCUGUUACAUACUUGUCUGGUAUACAAGAAACCUUCGAUAUCAUGAUGAAGUACAUUCUUGGCAUGGCAAGUAUGCAAACCUUUUGUGAGCUGCUCUGUAUUAAUUAAAAGAGAAGAAUGUUUGAGAAAUAUGAAUAGACCUUUUUAAACAAGUGCGCUAACAACACGUGCCUUUGUUGGAGGAGCUUGGCUUCUUCCAAAUAACUGGAAUGCAAGAGAAGUUGGCGAUGAGCAGCUUCAUGUUUUUGUAAGCUGAUACUCAAUUGGUAUAGCAACUUCACACGACUUUGUUUGGACAAAUACAGAAUUCAAAUGGCCAUCUUCCAAAAGCUUUUUGCAGUUAAAGAUUAUCAGACACACUUGAAUUAUGUGCAUGUUGUGAAUAAUCAAAGUUCUACUGUACGUUAUCCGUGGAUCCAGGUGCAUGUCAUUCCAAUUGCCUACAGGAAUGAGGAUAAUUUCGUGAGAGCGAACUAAGUGGUCUGUUUUUUUGGGUAUAUAUAUGCUCUGCUUUCAGGUGCUAAUUCUGUUCUAGAUGGACCCUGUGUUUCCGAUUACUUCAAUUGUCAGUUACAUUGCUCCUGUUUUGCAGAAGGGGAGCCUUGGCACAGUGGUAAAGCUCCUGUUUUCCAAUAUGUAUGCUUGAGCCCCUGUGCAACACCAUGUGUACUCUCUUGUUGCAUGUAUUCAUACAUCCAUCUUUAGUUUUUGAUUCAGGUGAUAUCAGUCUAUAAAGUUUACUGGUGUGUGUAUGAUAAGAUGCAUGUUAAGGCAUUUGUUUGGUUUUGUACAGACAUGCCCAUUGGUUUAGCUUCUUUUACCCUGUGCUAAAUAUUCCUCAAUUGUUCAUAUCCUGUCAGAAAGAGGGAUUAUGUGUUGGGACUUGGGAGGGAUUUCUAUCAUCGGGGGUCGCACAAUACAAGAACCAAGCUUUUCUGGCUGUACUGUUUUGCUCUGGAGAUUUGUAAGGCCAUCACCUUUUUUUUCUGCAGUUUAUAGUUCUGUACUAUACUUUGCUGUUGGACCAUAAUAAAAUCUGUUGAAUUUCAUGAAUCGCAUCAAGAAUAAUAGUCUCAGAGAGUUAUUUUCGUGUCUCCGCUAUCGUUUCUAAGCCAAAUUUUAAGUUCCUUUUGUGCUUUUGCUUCUUACCGAAUACAGUUUGUCAUCAUUCCGUUUGAAGUAAGGCAAGGCGAUGUAUCCGGUGAAAUCUGGAUUUGGGUGAUGAGUGCCAUUAGAUCUACAACAAACAGAGUCCGCAGAACCCCAACCAGCCACUUAUCUUACCUCUUACCUACUAAGAAAGCAAAUACUGCUUCUGCCGUACGUCAUUCAAAUUACCCCUCAAUUUGACUAAAAUUACCCACCAAUGCCACCUAUAAGUCAUAGAAAACGUUUCGAACAGGAAAAACUUCGAACUGGGCCUGCCCAUGUAGGCACCUCCUAUAUUACGCUAUGGGUGUUGAAAAAGAUGCAGCACACCUGUUUGGGCCGGCCCAUGCGUGGACGCCUGUUUUUUUAGUUUAGUUUUUUAUUUUUAUUUUCAGUUCCAUUUUGUUUUUCUACUUUAAAUAAUUUAGAGCUUCAAACAACUUUUCUCAAUUUUAAGAAACUGAGAAUUUCGAAAUAAAAUAUUCAAAAAAAGAUCAUUUUUUUUUAGAAUUCAAAAAUUACUCAGGAGUUUUGAAAAAUGUUUGCAUAUACAAAAAAAUGUUUAAAUUUUGAAAAAAUGUCCACAAAAUAAAAAAGGUCAAUAAUUUUAAACAAAAGUCCGUGUAAAAAUCUUAAAAACAGUUCGUGCCUCUGUUUUUAGUCUCGUUUUUUAUUUUCAUUUUUCUGUUCCAUUUUUUAAUUUAAAUAAUUUAGAACUUUGAAAAACUUUUGCAAUUUAUAAAACUGGAAAUUUUUGAAUAAAAGUUUGAAGAAGACAUAAAAUGUUUGUGAAUUCAAAAAAUGCUCGGGAUUUUGUAAAAAAAUUCGCAUAUUCAGAAAAAUGUUCAUAAUUUUGAGAACAAUGUUGGUGAAAACUAUAAAAGUCCAUGAUUUUGAAAAAAAAGUUUGUGUAUUAUUUUUCGAGUGCAAUUGAAAAAAAUUGUUUGCUAAUUCAAAAAAUGUUCAUGCAUUUCAAAAAUGUCUUAAAAUUUUAAAGACAUAAUAUGAUCAGCACCAUUGGAGAUUAUAAUUAAUUUUCUUCCGUUGCAACGCACGGACCCUUUUGCUAGUAAAACACUAAUGUACUUAGUAGAUAAUCCCCUCAUUCGGUUAGUAGAUAAUCCCUGUAAAGAAAGCCCGAGGCUUGGCGGCCACAGCCAACGCGGCUUCCAACACUCAAGCCGGCGACACCGCCCACGGAGGCGAGGUAGAGCGCCACCGGUGCCCGUGAGCUGCAGGGAGCCACGUUCAGCACACUGCGUCUGUUAAUUUCAUGUAGAGAAUCUCUGAUCCAGUUCGUCUUGUACAUAUUUUUCUCUCUGAACUUGUAGCUCCUCCUUAGAGCCGGCUUGGAUUGGAAGUAAGUUUACACACCUUUAUUUAUUUUACAGGUGUGUGUUACAGGUCAACACUCGAUUUUUCCCUGGAAUGAAAAACGUCGGGAGGAGGUCCGUAUCUUAACCGGACAGAAAAUGAGCAGAAACUCUAAUCCAAACAGGGCAUUAGUGAACUUCUAGCUGAAUGCUGAUGUAAUCGGUCUACGUGUGAUGCUAUGAAAGUUAUCACUGAAAAUUCAAUGUAAAAUUUUCUUCUGUUUAUUUGACUCUGGAGCAAAUUGGUUACAGAAAUCUACUGUGAAAUGAGAAAAGUCUGGGUUCGGG
rnacentral:lncRNA from 1 species